ACUGCUCAGUAACACGUGGAUAACCUGCCAUUGGGUCCGGCAUAACCCCGGGAAACUGGGGAUAAUUCCGGAUAACGCACAUAUGCUGGAAUGCUUUUUGCGUAAAAUGGAUUCGUCUGCCCAAGGAUGGGUCUGCGGCCUAUCAGGUAGUAGUGGGUGUAAUGUACCUACUAGCCUACGACGGGUACGGGUUGUGAGAGCAAGAGCCCGGAGAUGGAUUCUGAGACAUGAAUCCAGGCCCUACGGGGCGCAGCAGGCGCGAAAACUUUACAAUGCGGGAAACCGUGAUAAGGGGACACCGAGUGCCAGCAUCCUAUGCUGGCUGUCCGGGUGUGUAAAAUACACCUGUUAGCAAGGGCCGGGCAAGACCGGUGCCAGCCGCCGCGGUAACACCGGCGGCCCGAGUGGUGAUCGUGAUUAUUGGGUCUAAAGGGUCCGUAGCCGGUUUGGUCAGUCCUCCGGGAAAUCUGACAGCUUAACUGUUAGGCUUUCGGAGGAUACUGCCAGACUUGGAACCGGGAGAGGUAAGAGGUACUACAGGGGUAGGAGUGAAAUCUUGUAAUCCCUGUGGGACCACCUGUGGCGAAGGCGUCUUACCAGAACGGGUUCGACGGUGAGGGACGAAAGCUGGGGGCACGAACCGGAUUAGAUACCCGGGUAGUCCCAGCCGUAAACGAUGCUCGCUAGGUGUCAGGCAUGGCGCGACCGUGUCUGGUGCCGCAGGGAAGCCGUGAAGCGAGCCACCUGGGAAGUACGGCCGCAAGGCUGAAACUUAAAGGAAUUGGCGGGGGAGCA
rnacentral:rRNA from 1 species